rnacentral:rRNA from 1 species
CCUACGGGUGGCAGCAGUGGGGGAUAUUGGACAAUGGGGGGAACCCUGAUCCAGCGACGCCGCGUGAGUGAAGAAGUAUCUCGGUAUGUAAAGCUCUAUCAGCAGGGAAGAAGAAAUGACGGUACCUGAGUAAGAAGCCCCGGCUAACUACGUGCCAGCAGCCGCGGUAAUACGUAGGGGGCAAGCGUUAUCCGGAUUUACUGGGUGUAAAGGGAGCGUAGACGGUGCUGUAAGCCUGGUGUGAAUGCCGGGGGCCCAACCGCGGGACUGCUAUGGAAACUAGGGGACUGGAGUGCAGGAGAGGUAGGCGGAAUUCCUAGUGUAGCGGUGAAAUGCGUAGAUAUUAGGAGGAACACCAGUGGCGAAGGCGGCUUACUGGACUGUGACUGACGUUGAGGCUCGAAAGCGUGGGGAGCAAACAGGAUUAGAUACCCCGGUAGUC